GGAUCCGAAGCGAAAGCGAGUCUGAACAGGGCGGAUAGUCGGAAGGAGUAGACGCGAAACCAAGUGAUCUACCCUUGGGCAGGUUGAAGGUUAGGUAACACUAACUGGAGGACCGAACCGAUAAGCGUUGAAAAGCUUCCGGAUGACCUGAGGGUGGGGGUGAAAGGCUAAUCAAACUUGGAGAUAGCUCGUACUCCCCGAAAUGCAUUUAGGUGCAGCCUUGAGAAUUACUAAUGUGAGGUAGAGCGACUGAUAAGAUGCGAGGGCUUCACCGCCUAUCAAGUCUUGAUAAACUCCGAAUGCGCAUUAGUUCGAUCUCAGGAGUGAGGGCAUGGGUGCUAAGGUCCAUGUCCUAAAGGAGAAGAAUCCAGACCAUCAGCUAAGGUCCCCAAAUAAACACUAAGUUGAACUAACGAAGUCAGAUUGCUAAGACAGCUAGGAUGUUGGCUUGGAAGCAGCCAUUCAUUUAAAGAGUGCGUAACAGCUCACUAGUCGAGGAGUUUGGCGUGGAUAAUAAUCGGGCAUCAAGUGUUUUACCGAAGCUAUGGGAUACGUAAGUAUCGGUAGGGGAGCAUUCCACUCUGCGUUGAAGGCGAAGCGUGAGCUUUACUGGAGCGUGUGGAAAAGCAAAUGUAGGUAUAAGUAACGAUAAAGGGGGUGAGAAACCCCCUCGCCGCAAGACUAAGGUUUCCUGAUCAACGCUAAUCGGAUCAGGGUUAGUCGGGUCCUAAGGCUCAGCCGAACGGUGAUGCCGAUGGCAGAACAGGUUAAUAUUCCUGUACUAGCAUUAAGAGUGACGUGGAGACGGAGGAGUGACAACGCCGCGGACUGACGGAAUAGUCCGUUAAAGGGUGUAGAUGUUGAUUAUCCCAGGCAAAUCCGGGAUAAGAGUCGAACCUGACAGUAUACCAAUUUCCCCGGAAAACGGUAAUAGUGCGUGUAAACAUACUCCCAAGAAAAUCCGCUAAACUUAAUCUUAAUGGUACCCGUACCGUAAACGGACACACGUAGUCGGGUUGAAUAUACUCAGGCGCUUGAGUGAAUCACGGUUAAGGAACUAGGCAAAUUGACCCUGUAACUUCGGGAUAAAGGGUCCCUACCCGGUGACGGGAGGGCGCAGAGAAUAGGUCCAGGCAACUGUUUAACAAAAACACAGGGCUGUGCAAAAUUGAAAGAUCACGUAUACAGCCUGACACCUGCCCGGUGCUGGAAGGUUAAGAGGAGAUGUCAUCGCAAGAGAAGCAUUGAAUUGAAGCCCCAGUAAACGGCGGCCGUAACUAUAACGGUCCUAAGGUAGCGAAAUUCCUUGUCGGGUAAGUUCCGACCUGCACGAAUGGUGUAAUGAUCUGGACACUGUCUCAACCGUGAGCUCAGUGAAAUUGUAGUAUCGGUGAAGAUGCCGAUUACCCGCGAUGGGACGAAAAGACCCCGUGAACCUUUACUAUAGCUUAACAUUGAAUUUGGGUAAUUGAUGUGUAGGAUAGGCCGGAGACUUUGAAGCAGGUACGCCAGUAUUUGUGGAGUCGCUGUUGAAAUACGGCCCUUUGAUUAUUUGAGUUCUAACUCGCAGUCGCGAGGACACUGUUUGGUGGGUAGUUUGACUGGGGUGGUCGCCUCCAAAAGUGUAACGGAGGCUUCUAAAGGUGCCCUCACGCCGAUUGGUAACCGGCGGCAGAGUGUAAUGGCAUAAGGGCGCUUGACUGGGAGACUUACAAGUCGAUCAGGUAGGAAACUAGAGCAUAGUGAUCCGGUGUUUCCGUAUGGAAGGGACAUCGCUCAAAGGAUAAAAGGUACUCCGGGGAUAACAGGCUGAUCCCUCCCAAGAGCUCAUAUCGACGGAGGGGUUUGGCACCUCGAUGUCGGCUCGUCACAUCCUGGGGCUGGAGAAGGUCCCAAGGGUUGGGCUGUUCGCCCAUUAAAGUGGCACGCGAGCUGGGUUCAGAACGUCGUGAGACAGUUCGGUCUCUAUCUAUCGUGGGCGCAUGAAAUUUGCGUGGCUCUGACACUAGUACGAGAGGACCGUGUUGGACUGACCUCUGGUUUACCGGUUGUGCCGCCAGGUGCAUUGCCGGGUAUCUAAGUCGGGAUUGGAUAAGUGCUGAAAGCAUCUAAGUACGAAGCCAGCCACAAGAUUAGAUUUCUUUUAGGGUCGUUGUAGACUACAACGUUGAUAGGACGCAGGUGUACAGGUGGUAACAUCACAGCCGAGCGUUACUAAUUGCCCGAUGACUUUCUUUU
rnacentral:rRNA from 1 species